ACCAGUGUGAUACAGUGGUUUGAGCACUGGACUACAACUCUGGAGCCCAGGGUUCGAAUCUCUGCUUGGCCA